CGAGCGGUGCGGGUGCCCUGCAGGUGCUGGCACGGACACUGCAUGGCACCAAGGCGCCUGGCACCAGCCGUGCCACCAGCCGUGCCACCAGCCGCCCGGCGACAGGGCCAGUAACCGCGUCUUCCGCGGUGACACCUCACUCCAUGCCCUGUGACACUCAGUGCUAGCCGAGGUGACACCGAGGUGACACCUUGCUCCAUGCCCUGUGACACUCUAUGCCAGCUGAGGUGACACCGCGCUCCGUGCCCUGUGACACUCCGUGCUGGCCGAGGUGACACCGAGGUGACACCUCACUCCGUGCCCUGUGACGCUCCGUGCUGGCCGAGGUGACACCUCACUCCGUGCCCUGUGACGCUCCGUGCCAGCCGAGGUGACACCUCACUCCGUGCCCUGUGACGCUCCGUGCCAGCCGAGGUGACACCUCACUCCGUGCCCUGUGACGCUCCGUGCUGGCUGGGGCUGCAGCUGAGCCUCAGAGCCUCCCGCAGGGCUCCUGCUCCGUUUGCCAGCCGUGCUGUUUGGCACGGGGCACUCGGAGCCAUUGCUAAAUCCCACCAGGUUCCUGCCUGCUCCCACAGCUCCUCCUCACCUGGAGCACACCAGAACCAUGCAUUGGGUGUCCCACCUGAGAGAGCGCUGCUCAGCCAGGAGCUGG